AGUGAACGCUGGCGGUAGGCCUAACACAUGCAAGUCGAACGGCAGCACAGUAAGAGCUUGCUCUUACGGGUUGCGAGUGGCGUACGUGUGAGGUAUACAUCGGACUCUACUUUUUCGUGGGGGAUAACGUAGGGAAACUUACGCUAAUAUCGCAUACGACCUACGGGUGUGAGCAGGGGAUCUUCGCGCCUUGUGCGAUUGGACGAGCCGCUGUCGGAUUAGUUAGUUGGCGGGGUAAUGGCCCACCAAGGCGCCGAUCCGUAGCCGGUCUGAGUGGAUGAUCAGCGACACUGGAGGUGAGACACGGUCCAUACGCCUACGGGAGGCAGCAGUGGGGAAUGGUAGACAAUGGGCGCGAGCCUGAUCCAGCCAGACCGCGUGUGUGAAGGAGGCCUUCGGGUUGUAAAGCCCGUUUGUGGGGAAAGAAAAGCAGCAGCUUAAGACGCAGCUGGACUGACGGUACCCAAAGAAUAAGCACCGGCUAACUUCGUG
rnacentral:rRNA from 1 species